UUUGGGACAUUUUGUUUUACUUUCCUCACAGUUUGUGACUAUUUUUUUUAUUUCUUAAUUUUUCUGUUCAGUUUAUCAUAUCAAUUUUUUUGUUACUAAUGUGUGCCUUGUCAUGCUAUUUUCUUUUAAUAUUUCAAUAAA